UGGUCAUGAUGUUUUGUAUAGGAAUA
rnacentral:piRNA from 1 species